ACGAUUUUUGUUGAAUUGGAAUUCCUCCAACCCAUUGGUAAUUCUCCUAGUUAUCAUGGACCUACUUAGAAAAUGGGAACAGGAGGAAGAUUUCAAUUCACAAGGGGAGCUCAAGAAUCUGCUGGGUUUUCAGGAAUAAACCAUAAGCUAGAAACCAAGAGAAGUGAGUUCUAAUCCAUAUUCUGUUGCUAAUGGAUUCACUGUGAAAGCAUGCUCUGUACCAAGGCAAAGCCUACAUUGACCAGAGCCCUUUUGUUCUAGGCUCUUUCUAUCUCCGCUGACAGUCUGGUAUCUGAGGUAACAUUAAAUGUCAUGCAGGGUAUUUUUGUUGUUGUUGUUCAGUCCCAUUUAGGGUUUUCUUGGUAGAGAGACUUAAGUGGAUUGCCAUUUCUUUCUCCAGCUCAUUUUACAGAUGAGGAAACUGAGGCAAACAGAGAUUAAGUGAUUUGCCCAGGGUCACACAGCCAGUAAGUGUCUGAGUCCAGAUUUGAACUCUCGAAGAUGAGUCUUCCUUACUCCAGGCCCAC
rnacentral:lncRNA from 1 species